rnacentral:rRNA from 1 species
CAGCCGCCGCGGUAAUACGUAGGGUGCAAGCGUUAAUCGGAAUUACUGGGCGUAAAGCGUGCGCAGGCGGUUUGUUAAGACAGAUGUGAAAUCCCCGGGCUUAACCUGGGAACUGCAUUUGUGACUGGCAAGCUGGAGUCUGGCGGAGGGGGGUGGAAUUCCGCGUGUAGCAGUGAAAUGCGUAGAUAUGCGGAGGAACACCGAUGGCGAAGGCAGCCCCCUGGGCCAACACUGACGCUCAUGCACGAAAGCGUGGGGAGCAAACAGGAUUAGAUACCCCAGUAGUCCCUGUCUCUUAUAC